rnacentral:rRNA from 1 species
GAUGAACGCUGGCGGCGUGCCUAAUACAUGCAAGUCGAGCGAACAGACGAGGAGCUUGCUCCUCUGACGUUAGCGGCGGACGGGUGAGUAACACGUGGAUAACCUACCUAUAAGACUGGGAUAACUUCGGGAAACCGGAGCUAAUACCGGAUAAUAUAUUGAACCGCAUGGUUCAAUAGUGAAAGACGGUUUUGCUGUCACUUAUAGAUGGAUCCGCGCCGCAUUAGCUAGUUGGUAAGGUAACGGCUUACCAAGGCGACGAUGCGUAGCCGACCUGAGAGGGUGAUCGGCCACACUGGAACUGAGACACGGUCCAGACCCCUACGGGAGGCAGCAGUAGGGAAUCUUCCGCAAUGGGCGAAAGCCUGACGGAGCAACGCCGCGUGAGUGAUGAAGGUCUCCGGAUCGUAAAACUCUGUUAUUAGGAAAGAACAAAUGUGUAAGUAACUAUGCACGUCUUGACGGUACCUAAUCAGAAAGCCACGGCUAACUACGU